GGGAGGACAUGCGGCCCGUUGUCAGCCAGUGAGCCCAAAUAUUUCUUCCCGAUAUGCCGGCCCAUCAUGUAUUAGUCGCUCGCUGAGCUGGGUUUCGGCCCAUACAAGAGCGUUCUCUCUGUCUUGCCCACGAGGCCACCCCGAGAGCAACCGACGCCGCCGAUGCCGCGGACCGCCGGAGACCGGCUCGUGCGAUUCGAUCGGAUGCCGGGGUGGUGCCGGCCAUCAGGAUGCCCUGGCACGGCAGUCUGAUCGGAUUUGGUGCUCGGGCGGCACUCCAACGACUCUUCAUCUACCCGAUUCAGGGACCAGCGGAGAGAAGGAAUAGUACCAUCAUUUUCAUGGCAAGCAUCCAUCUGUGAAUUGCCGAUCAGCUACUGGGAUAUCAAGCAAACGAUAUGAACGGACCUAUUGCAGAGAGAUGCAGAAGGUGCCAGAUGUCAACACCAGAGCCAGGGGAGGAAAUGCAAAUUGUGGUAGUAAUGGGCCUUGUAGUCAGCCUACCUGACCAAGCUAGCAUUUGGAAAUUCAGGUAUCCAACUCAAAAUAAAUUUUGGAUAAAAAGUUUUGUGUAGCCUUUACAGAUUAUAUUAGCAUACCUCAGAAGUUUCCAGUUGCAUUCCAUUGGCAUUUUCACUUUCUUUUUUUUUCAACUACAGGUGGAGAGCACCUCUGAGAAGUGUAGGUUUUUUAGGUUUAUAUUUAGGAGAAUGAAAUUAAAAAUCUUUAAAAUACUAGUAAUGUUUUACCUGACUACGCAAUAAAAUUCUGCUGAUAGGCUACAUAUAGAACAACCUAACAUCAUACAUCCAGUGGCCUUAAAAUUAUGGCAACACCGAACUUCAGUUGAGGUGUUACAAUCUGCUGGUGCGUGUGAAUACUUUGGGAAAGUGUGAAGUAUAAUUUCUGAAGGAUCAUGGCCACUACUGACUUGGCUUCUAAUUUUGCAACGUUCUGAUCGACGCCUGACCAUUCUGAUCAUUGUCGUAUGACUUUUCAAGUUUUUCCUGUAGUUCAUUGAGUUCCAUGACCAGCAGCAUAAGAACUAGAUUGUCUUCUCCUGAGCCAGAUAAACAGAAUCUCUGCAUGGCUUUGUGCACAUCUUUGAUUCCUAAACGGCUUCAUUCCAAAGUCCAUCUUGGGCUACAGUUUAAGCGAAUCCUGUCUGACACAAACUAGCAUGGAAGAAGAACGGAAGCACCGAAAAUCUCAAGCAGAGCUGGAACAGAGAGCGCAUGUCUUGAGGCUUGACCUAUACGGUGCUGAAUUCAGCCAGUCAGAACUGAUGGAACAAGCAUGCCGUACUGAACCUUCAUGAAGCAGCGGCACCCUGGAGCAGAACAGUCGGCACGGCAUGGCUGCAAAAUGGUUGCAUGCGUGGGGACUGUCGAAUGCUUUGCCCCCCGCUUGGGUCAUGGUCGUGCAGGAUGGAGCUAGGAUAGGUCCGGUUGGGCUGCUUGCCCCCGGGAGAUGGAUCUCCCUGUAUCGUUCUCAAGACCCUGCCAGUAUUUCAGUUUUGUGAACGAAUCUGUUGAAAGAGAAGCUGACACGCUUCACUAGUGAGGACUAUCGACGACGGCGAGGAUCGCCGCAGCAGCUGUAUCCUGUUUUUUUCUUGUGGUUUCAUGUUGACUGCCACAACAUUGUUUGGGCAAAGCCACACUUGCUUCUGUUGAGCCGAAUGGCGCGCCUACGGAGGGAAAACACAGAUUGUUGUGUCAGGUUUUGCUCCAUAGCCACCUGUUUUUCAACAAUUUGUAGGCUUUCUAGAUAUACUGUUUGGUGAAUGAAGUCCCAAAAUACUAACACAUGUAUAUUUAUUCGCAUAUCAUAAUUCAGCUUCAUAGGAUA